rnacentral:lncRNA from 1 species
CUCCUGCUUAGUACUAUUUCUCUAAUACAUGGAAUAGAUACUGUAUAAGAAAGAAUGCAUCAGAUCUAAGAUGACAUUAAACAAUGCUUCAUGCUAAUUGUGUUUUUUUGCUUUAUUAUUUAUCAUGAAUUUGAAUGAAAGUCCUGUAUAUCUGCAUUUAUAUGUAAAUGCUGUUGGUUUCCUUUUUGUUUGUGCACAUCAAGCACAUACACCAAUUGCAAGUGUUUAUGAUAAUGGGAAAUUGAUAAAUUAAAAAUCUUUGUUAAACUACUUAUAAGAAAACUUUGAGUGUAUUGUUCGUCCUCUUUUUCCUUUUUUACUGUCAAUUUUUUGUCACUGUUAGCCCUCCUAGAUGGAGGUAUAUCCAGAAAUAUACAGGCAGAUUUGAUAACUUGCUUGCUUCUGUUAAUUGUGUUCACAAUUUUUUAGACUGAGAACGAUAUUGAGGGCUUGACAUAUGAUUGUUAAGGACUGUAUGUUGCCCUCUAGAACUCUUUUGGUUUUUGUUGUUGUUAUGUGCUGUCUCAUCUCUUUUUAUUUAAAUGUUGAGAUGACUAAGCAAUGAAUGACAUCAUUAGGACAUGAUUCAGCAGAAUUAUCAGACAACUUUUCUCUGAAGACUUGUUUGUGACUGUUUACAUCAGCUGUUUAAUUCAUAUUUUUUUCAAAGUGUACUUUUUCAAGUCAGGUAAAUAGUUUCUUCUUGCCUGAGGAGAGGUUCCAUGAUUUCUCCAUUAAAAAGGCAGAAAAGCAAAAUGCAUAACUUUCUUUUUCAUUUUAACAAUGACAUGUUUGGAAAAACU